rnacentral:rRNA from 1 species
UGGGGAAUAUUGGACAAUGGGCGAAAGCCUGAUCCAGCCAUGCCGCGUGUGUGAAGAAGGUCUUCGGAUUGUAAAGCACUUUAAGUUGGGAGGAAGGGCAGUAAGCGAAUACCUUGCUGUUUUGACGUUACCGACAGAAUAAGCACCGGCUAACUCUGUGCCAGCAGCCGCGGUAAUACAGAGGGUGCAAGCGUUAAUCGGAAUUACUGGGCGUAAAGCGCGCGUAGGUGGUUCGUUAAGUGUAAUGUGAAAGCCCCGGGCUCAAAAUGGGAACUGCAUCCAAAACAGGAGAGAUAGAGUAGGGCAGAGGGUGGUGGAAUUUCCUGUGUAGCGGUGAAAUGCGUAGAUAUAGGAAGGAAAACAAGUGGCGAAGGCGACCACCUGGGCUCAUACUGACACUGAGGUGCGAAAGCGUGGGGAGCAAACAGG